rnacentral:lncRNA from 1 species
CGAAGACUUGUUAUCUGGCAGAUUUGUUACCUGGCCUCUCCACCAUGUGACCCCAUGGAAAUUGUUUAGAAUGAUGUGGGACCUGUCACAUCAACCCAUAUGACCCCGAAGACUUGUUAUCUGGCCUCUCCGCCAUGUGACCCAUGGAAAAUGUGACCCCAUGGAAAUUGUUUAGAAUGAUGUGGGACCUGUCACAUCAACCCAUAUGACCCCGAAGACUUGUUAUCUGGCCUCUCCGCCAUGUGACCCAUGGAAAUUGUUCCGGGUUCUAAACCUUGGGCUCUGAUACCAUUUGUUAGAGUGUGCAGCCUGGCCCACCAACCGUGGGCCACCCAGGUCACAUUGGUUCUGCUCUACCACAAGCCCAAUUGGAGCCACAACUUUAGGUCCUGGGCCUACACAACCAAAAGACUAGUUUGAUGGGUGAGGAUCGCCCCCACUUUUUAAGUCGUGCUCCCCCAUCAUCAAUUACCGAUGUGGGACUAAACCCAACAACGCAGCGGUGCGACCAGAAGCAA